AGUGAACGCUGGCGGCAGGCCUAACACAUGCAAGUCGAACGGCAGCACAAGAGAGCUUGCCCUCUGGGUGGCGAGUGGCGGACGGGUGAGGAAUGCAUCGGAAUCUGCCCAUUUGUGGGGGAUAACCUCGGGAAACCGGGACUAAUACCGCAUACGACCUACGGGUGAAAGCAGGGGAUCUUCGGACCUUGCGCAGAUGGAUGAGCCGAUGCCGGAUUAGCUAGUUGGAGGGGUAAAGGCCCACCAAGGCGACGAUCCGUAGCUGGUCUGAGAGGAUGAUCAGCCACACUGGGACUGAGACACGGCCCAGACUCCUACGGGAGGCAGCAGUGGGGAAUAUUGGACAAUGGGCGCAAGCCUGAUCCAGCCAUGCCGCGUGUGUGAAGAAGGCCUUCGGGUUGUAAAGCACUUUUGUUGGGAAAGAAAAGCAGCCGGUUAAUACCCGGUUGUCAUGACGGUACCCAAAGAAUAAGCACCGGCUAACUUCGUG
rnacentral:rRNA from 1 species